rnacentral:rRNA from 1 species
UUCCUACGGGACGCAGCAGUGGGGGAUAUUGCACAAUGGGGGAAACCCUAUUGCAGCGACGCCGCGUGGGUGAAGAAGCGCCUGGGCGCGUAAAGCCUUGUCAGCAGGGAAGAAAAUGACGGUACCUGAAGAAGAAGCCCCGGCUAACUACGUGCCAGCAGCCGCGGUAAUACGUAGGGGGCAAGCGUUAUCCGGAUUUACUGGGUGUAAAGGGCGUGUAGGCGGGGACGCAAGUCAGAU